UGGGGAAUCUUGGACAAUGGGCGAAAGCCUGAUCCAGCAAUGCCGCGUGUGUGAAGAAGGCCUUCGGGUUGUAAAGCACUUUUGUCCGGAAAGAAAUCCUUGGCUCUAAUACAGUCGGGGGAUGACGGUACCGGAAGAAUAAGCACCGGCUAACUACGUGCCAGCAGCCGCGGUAAUACGUAGGGUGCAAGCGUUAAUCGGAAUUACUGGGCGUAAAGCGUGCGCAGGCGGUUUGCUAAGACUGAUGUGAAAUCCCCGGGCUCAACCUGGGAACUGCAUUGGUGACUGGCAGGCUAGAGUAUGGCAGAGGGGGGUAGAAUUCCACGUGUAGCAGUGAAAUGCGUAGAGAUGUGGAGGAAUACCGAUGGCGAAGGCAGCCCCCUGGGCCAAUACUGACGCUCAUGCACGAAAGCGUGGGGAGCAAACAGGAUUAGAUACCCUGGUAGUCCACGCCCUAAACGAUGUCAACUAGUUGUUGGGGAUUCAUUUCCUUAGUAACGUAGCUAACGCGUGAAGUUGACCGCCUGGGGAGUACGGUCGCAAGAUUAAAACUCAAAGGAAUUGACGGGGUCAUAGCUGUUUCCU
rnacentral:rRNA from 1 species